ensembl:lncRNA
CUUGGAGGCUUAUGCUAUAGCCCUGGAUUUUUAUUCUUGGGGCUGUAUGGAUAAAUUAGGCCAUUUUGGGAAAGUCCUUUGCAGUCUCAUUACCAGGGACACUUGACUAGAAUAUCUCCGAAACAUUAAGUAUUAUUUGGUUGUUCUCACAAUACACAGAGAGGAUUCCACUCCCCCACCCCAUGUUUCCAGUGGAAUGAAACAGAGUGUUAGCGGGGUAGGUGGUCUGGAGAUCCUGAAAAGUACAUCAACAUCAUCAUCAUCAUCACCACCAGCAUCAUCACCACCACCAUCAUCAUCAUCAUCAUCAUCAUCAUCAUCAUGAUGCCAUCAGCAGCAGCAAUAGCAGCAGUUCUAGGAAGAAACAUCGCUUUCUCAUGAUGUGCUCCUGUUGGUGUACUGGGUGAAGAAGCUGCAGUUGAGUCUAGUAGUCCCCAUUCCCUGGAAAUAUGGUGUAAUUUGGCUCUAAAGCUGAUAGAGGAUCAUCUCCAUUACUCUGGUGGCUCCUGAUGAGCAAAAACCAGUCAGCAGGCACCUGGGCUGCAUCUCUAGGACUGAACAGGAAUGCAGGGGUCAUAGGUGUGUGCUACAUUGCCCAGCAUAUAUGGUUCCGAGGAUUAAAUCCAGUACUUCUUGAAUAUUAGUUACAGGUUCCACAGUGACUGUAAACUGGACAUCAGGAUUGUUGAGAAUGUUCUCUGGACUGUGCAUCUGAGCUACAGACGGCCUUGACUUUAAGCCCUGUUUCUACUAAGUGGCAGAGCCAUCAUUAGAUAUGGAAAGCUGACCACAAUAAUGACCAGAAGGAAUUGGUAAAACUGUGAACUGAAAAUCCCAGGGGGGGAAAACCCCAAACAAACCUAUGUUAGUGAUUCUCCGAGGAUGAUCAGCUGAUUCGAACAUCUGUGAAUGUGGAGAAUGAGAAUGGUAUGCUUCUGGAGCCACAUUAUCUUGGGCUGUCUUUAGACCCCUCUGUAGUUAUUCAUUGCCUAUCCUUGUGAUCCACCGAACACCCUUGGGACUCAAAUCCUUUUGGAAUGAACUAACAGGCCAGUUCCAACAUACCAAAAGCUGGAAAUUGUAUCUCUAAUUCCUCUUCAGGUGAGAGUUGUGUUUCUGCACCGAGGAUACUCAAGAAUGGUGGAAAAGUAAAGUCCCAACAAGAAAAGCCCCAUCCUGAUGGAGAGGAAAAUGCACAGCUCUCUUUCUGUUCUGCUUGUUGUUACCAAGUUCUGAGUCUGGAGGCUCCUGUCUAGUUUAUGUCACCUAAGGUGGUGUGAAGGUGUACUCUACAUGCCUUAUUCAUGGACCCAUCUCCAAAAAGGCAUUUGAACGAUUGGGAACCUGACUUUUUCUUAGGGUGAAAUUUUUGGGUGGGAGCCAGACAAGUUUUGCUUGUUGUGUGCACAUGUAUGGAAGGCCAUCAUGUAAACAAACUUAGCUAAAGUUGUGAGACCUCACAGUGUCUCCACAUCAUGGGACUGGAUGGGUCAGGGUGAUGACUGUGGGAUGGGCCCUUUCUCCUGGAGCCUGAGAAGGUCAGGGUUUUUGCUUGGCAACUCCUAGAGAUGAAUUCAGCUUAUUAUAUAACUUGUUUUCCAAACUUUCUUGUGUAGUGGGAAGAUUGCAGCUGUUCAAGGUCCCUCUGGCAUCUGUGGGCUUGAUACCCACUGUGGCAGGGCCGGCUCAUCAGGUUGGCCAACCUUGUAGAUCCUGUUGUCACAAAAUAUUUUCUUCUCUCUCCACUUUUGUUGUUUACUUAGCAAAAGGGACUCCACCCUCCCAGCAAGUUUUGACACUCUCUGAUACACUGGAUGGCUACUAUAGCUUGGCUUUCAAUUACAAUAAAUCCUAUCAUAAUCAUUUUCUUGCAACAAAUCCUCUUUAACACUUGAAAAGCUCAGCUCCCACGGAUGUAAUGUUAUGCUGUCAAAACAACCCCCACCCCCACUUCUGUAGACUUCUGCUGCAAGUGUAGUAGCCGUGGCAGGCAAUUGAAAAUAAGAACAUUAUCAGAACCCUACCCACUUUUGUAUUCAAUUCUGGUAGCAAAGAAAAAAGUAUCAUUCCAAGCUAUUCAAAUAUGGUUUGACCUAUAAACCAAUGGCCUUAAUUCUGUGAUUUUAAAUCGUAAUAUCAUGUUAAAGUACUUUCUGUGGGAAGUUAUUUUGUUAAGAGGUGAAGACCAGAAUUGCUAAAUAUUAAAUAUUGCCAUUAGAAGAACUCAUGGAGGGGCUGGAGAGAUGGCUCAGUGGUUAAGAGCACUGACUGUUCUUCCAGAGGACCCAGGUUCAAUUCCCAGCACCCACAUGGCAGCUCACAACUGUCUGUAACUCAAGUUCCAGGGGACCUGACUCCCUCACAGAGACAUGCGGGCCAAACACCAGUCACAUAAAAAUUAAAGAAAAAAAUUAAAUACAGAACACCACCAGAGGAAAAGAGCUUGCUUUAUGUACAGUUUUGCUUGAUUGCAAACCCUGGCUUUGGAAGUUCCAGUCUCACUGACUGUCUUAAGCAUGGUUCAAACUUUGAGGGGGCAGAA